UGAGGAAUAUUGGACAAUGGGCGCAAGCCUGAUCCAGCAAUGCCGCGUGCAGGAUGAAGGCCUUCGGGUUGUAAACUGCUUUUGUACGGAGCGAAAAGGUCUGCCCUAAUACGGUGGGCUCAUGACGGUACCGUAAGAAUAAGCACCGGCUAACUACGUGCCAGCAGCCGCGGUAAUACGUAGGGUGCGAGCGUUAAUCGGAAUUACUGGGCGUAAAGCGUGCGCAGGCGGUUAUAUAAGACAGAUGUGAAAUCCCCGGGCUCAACCUGGGACCUGCAUUUGUGACUGUAUAGCUAGAGUACGGUAGAGGGGGAUGGAAUUCCGCGUGUAGCAGUGAAAUGCGUGGAUAUGCGGAGGAACACCGAUGGCGAAGGCAAUCCCCUGGACCUGUACUGACGCUCAUGCACGAAAGCGUGGGGAGCAAACA
rnacentral:rRNA from 1 species